CCUGGAGUUGUAGGCUUUGCCUGCUAUCUCUUACCCAUGUCUUUUGAGUACCUUCGUUUCCUCGGCGGGUUCGCCCGCCGAUUGGACAAUUUAAAACCAUUUGCAGUUGCAAUCAGCGUCUAGAAAAAAAACUUAAUAGUUAA
rnacentral:misc_RNA from 1 species